rnacentral:rRNA from 1 species
GGGCUUGACAUCCCACGAACCUGAGUGAAAGCUUGGGGUGCUCGAAAGAGAACCUGGACACAGGUGCUGCAUGGCUGUCGUCAGCUCGUGUCGUGAGAUGUUGGGUUAAGUCCCGCAACGAGCGCAACCCUUGCCCUUAGUUGCCAUCAUUAAGUUGGGCACUCUAGGGGGACUGCCCGGGAUAACCGGGAGGAAGGUGGGGAUGACGUCAAGUCCUCAUGGCCCUCAUGCCCAGGGCUACACACGUGCUACAAUGGUCGGUACAAAGGGCAGCGAAGCCGCGAGGUGGAGCGAAUCCCAAAAAGCCGACCUCAGUACGGAUUGCAGUCUGCAACUCGCCUGCAUGAAGUCGGAAUCGCUAGUAAUCGCGGAUCAGCACGCCGCGGUGAAUACGUUCCCGGGCCUUGUACACACCGCCCGUCACAUCACGAAAGCUGGCUGUACUCGAAGUCGCUGAG